rnacentral:rRNA from 1 species
GAAACAGUGGCUAAGACUGGAUAGGAAGAUAAAAGGCAUCUUUUAUCUUUUAAAAGACCUAGUAAUAGGUAUGCUUUAGGAGGGGCUUGCGCCAUAUUAGUUAGUUGGUAGGGUAAUGGCCUACCAAGACGAUGAUGUGUAGCUGGACUGAGAGGUUGAACAGCCACAUUGGGACUGAGACACGGCCCAAACUCCUACGGGAGGCAGCAGUAGGGAAUUUUCGGCAAUGGAGGAAACUCUGACCGAGCAACGCCGCGUGAAUGACGAAGUACUUCGGUAUGUAAAGUUCUUUUAUCAAGGAAGAAAAGCAAAUGGCGAACCAUUUGUUUGCCGGUACUUGAUGAAUAAGCCCCGGCUAAUUAUGUGCCAGCAGCCGCGGUAAGACAUAAGGGGCAAGUGUUAUCCGGAAUUAUUGGGCGUAAAGGGUGCGUAGGCGGUCUAGUAAGUCAGUGGUGUAAUGGCAACGCUUAACGUUGUCCGGCUAUUGAAACUGCUAAACUUGAGUUAGAUAGAGGCGAGUGGAAUUCCAUGUGUAGCGGUAAAAUGCGUAAAUAUAUGGAGGAACACCAGAGGCGUAGGCGGCUCGCUGGGUCUUAACUGACGCUGAGGCACGAAAGCGUGGGGAGCAAACAGGAUUAGAUGCCCUGGUAGUCCACGCCGUAAACGAUGAGUACUAAGUGUCGGGUUAAACCGGUACUGAAGUUAACACAUUAAGUACUCCGCCUGAGUAGUACGUACGCAAGUAUGAAACUUAAAGGAAUUGACGGGACUCCGCACAAGCGGUGGAUCAUGUUGUUUAAUUCGAAGAUACCCGAAAAACCUUACCAGGUCUUGACAUGUUUUUGCAAAAUGAUAGUAAUAUCGUGGAGGUUACCAGAAACACAGGUGGUGCAUGGUUGUCGUCAGCUCGUGUCGUGAGAUGUUAGGUUAAGUCCUAAAACGAGCGAAACCCUUAUCGUUAGUUGCCAGCACGUUAUGGUGGGGACUUUAACGAGACUGCCAAUGAUAAAUUGGAGGAAGGUGAGGAUCACGUCAAAUCAGCAUGCCCCUUAUGACCUGGGCUACAAACGUGAUACAAUGGCUGUUACAAAGGGUAGCUGAAACGCAAGUUCUUGGCCAAUCCCCAAAAACAGUCCCAGUCCGGAUUGAAGUCUGCAACUCGACUUCAUGAAGUUGGAAUCGCUAGUAAUCGCGAAUCAGCAUGUCGCGGUGAAUACGUUCUCGGGGUUUGUACACACCGCCCGUCA